rnacentral:rRNA from 1 species
GACGAACGCUGGCGGCGUGCCUAAUACAUGCAAGUAGAACGCAGUUGCGAACGGGUGAGUAACGCGUAGGUAACUGCCUCAUAGCGGGGGAUAACUAUUGGAAACGAUAGCUAAUACCGCAUACUGUGAGAUGGACCUGCGUUGUAUUAGCUAGUUGGUGAUGUAAAGGCUCACCAAGGCGACGAUACAUAGCCGACCUGAGAGGGUGGACGGCCAAAAUGGGACCGGGACACGGCCCAGACUCCUACGGGAGGCAGGAGGUGGGGAUCUUCGGCCAAGGGCGGAAGUCUGACCGGGCAACGCCGGGUGAGUGAAGAAGGUUUUCGGAUCGUAAAGCCCUGUUUUUAGAGAAGCGGUAUCUAACCAGAAAGGGACGGCUAACUACGUGCCAGCAGCCGCGGUAAUUC